rnacentral:rRNA from 1 species
UACGUAGGGGGCAAGCGUUGUCCGGAUUUAUUGGGCGUAAAGAGCGUGUAGGCGGCCAGACAAGUCUGCUGUGAAAACUCGAGGCUCAACCUCGAGCUGUCGGUGGAAACUGUCUGGCUAGAGUCCGGAAGAGGAGAGUGGAAUUCCUGGUGUAGCGGUGAAAUGCAUAGAUAUCGGGAAGAACACCAACGGCGAAAGCACUCCGCUGGGCCGAAAACUGACACUGACAGACGAGAGCUAGGGGAGCGAAUGGG